UACGGGGGGGGCAAGCGUUGUUCGGAAUUACUGGGCGUAAAGGGCUCGUAGGCGGCCAACUAAGUCAGACGUGAAAUCCCUAGGCUCAACCUAGGAACUGCGUCUGAUACUGGAUGGCUUGAAUCCGGGAGAGGGAUGCAGAAUUCCAGGUGUAGCGGUGAAAUGCGUAGAUAUCUGGAGGAAUACCGGUGGCGAAGGCGGCAUCCUGGACCGGCAUUGACGCUGAGGAGCGAAAGCCAGGGGAGCAAAGCGGGG
rnacentral:rRNA from 1 species